rfam:Eubacterium ventriosum ATCC 27560 Scfld028 genomic scaffold, whole genome shotgun sequence.
GGGCUAGUACUGGUUUCGACAGGGGCUUGGAAUCUGGUGAAGCUAUCCGCAGGGAGAUGCGUUAAAUCACAACUUAAAAUUAAACGCUGAAGAUAAUUUAGCUUACGCUGCCUAAUUAAAGGCAGCUGUCAAUCCUGGAAGGCCUACGGUCCGGACAUUGGCAUCGACUUUAGUAGGGAACCCUAAAUAUUAAGCUUUGCGUAUUUAGGAGUACUAUGAAGCUACCAAGAGUUAUAGGAUGUUAGUUUUCGAUAACUUGCGGGAAAUUCAAACAACUGACUAUGAUAGUAGAAGAACAGGGGAAAGGUUUUUGGACACGGGUUCGACUCCCGUCUAGUCCACUC